UAUAGUCUGCCCAGUGACAUUCAAUUCAACGGCUGCGGUAUUCUGACCGCACAAAGGUAGCGUAAUCACAUGUCCUCUAAUUAAGGACCAGUAUGAACGACCACACGAGAGCUAUACUGUCUCCUUUUCCCAAUCAGUGAAACUAAUUCCCCUGUGAAAAAGCAGGAAUAUUUACAUAAGACGAAAAGACCCUAUGGAGCUUCAAACUAAACUACACCUGCCACACACAAAUUAAAUUAAUUAAAUUUACCUUGGCACCAUGAUUUUAAAGUUUUUGGUUGGGGCAACCGCGGAGCAAAAAAACCCCUUCGCGCUGAAUAAGACUAUUCUUUUAGCUAAAAGUUACGACUUUAAGCAUCAUCAAAUUGACAUCAUUGACCCAAUAUUUUGAUCAACGAACCAAGUUACCCUAGGGAUAACAGCGCAAUCCGCUUUGAGAGCACAUAUCGACAAGCGGGCUUACGACCUCGAUGUUGGAUCUGGGUAUCCCAGUGGUGCAGAAGCUACUAAAGGUUCGU
rnacentral:rRNA from 1 species